UGGUCUUGCUGGUCUCGAACACCUGACCUCAUGAUCUACCCGCCUUCCAAAGUGCUGGGAUUAGAGGCGUGAGCCACUGUGCCCAGCCAGGAAUAAUAUUUUCUCAUAUCCAAUAAAUUAUGUGAUUUACACAGUUUCUUCAUAACCUCAGAAAACCCAAAUCUUUGUCAGCUAUAAAGAGCAUUUAGAUUACUUUGUUUUUACUGUAAUUGUUUAAUGUAGUAAUAUCAAUUCUGUAUUUUAAGCAUGAUAAUCUGGCAGCAAAUUGAGAUGAAGGGAAGGCUGGAGAAAAAGGAUAUGGGACAAAAUGCAAUCUUUCACACAUGAAUAUAGGCACAAAAUGAUGGCUUGAAAUCCAGAAUGCCUCCACAUUUUAUUUCUGAUUGUCUCCUUUUUUUGCAUAUUAUUUUAUCCAUUUCCUAUAUUUUACACAUUUCUGUUAUCACACUCUGUUCCUGCUUCUGUGAACUUUGUAUUCUCAGCACCAUUUGAGCAUUGUUCAGAAGUCACUGAAAUAUUUGAGUUGUCAGAGCUUUGUGUUUUCUGGUGGCUUCAUUUCCUAUCCAGUUCUCCUAAUUGCACUGUAGAAGUUUCUUUUCAAGAAGUAAAA